GAUAACCGCUGAAAGCAUCUUAAGUGGGAAACCUGCCUCAAGAUUAAUUCUCCCGAACCUAAUGGUUCCUGAAGAUCACUCGAAGACUACGAGUUUGAUAGGCACAGUGUGUAAGUUCUGUAAAGGAUUCAGCUAAUGUGUACUAAUCGAUCGUGAGCCUUAACU
rnacentral:rRNA from 1 species